rnacentral:rRNA from 1 species
CCUACGGGUGGCAGCAGUGGGGGAUAUUGCACAAUGGGGGAAACCCUGAUGCAGCGACGCCGCGUGAGUGAAGAAGGAUUUCGGGAUGUAAAGCUCUAUCAGCAGGGAAGAAAAGGACAGUACCUGACCAAGAAGCCCCGGCUAACUACGUGCCAGCAGCCGCGGUAAUACGUAGGGGGCAAGCGUUAUCCGGAUUUACUGGGUGGAAAGGGAGCGUAGACGGUUUUGUACGUCUGGAGUGAAAGCCCGGGGCCCAACCCCGGGACUGCUUUGGAAACUGUGUAACUGGAGUACAGGAGGGGCAGGCGGAAUUCCUGGUGUAGCUGUGACCUGCGUAGAUAUCAGGAGGAACACCGGCGGCGAAGGCGGCCUGCUGGACUGACCCUGACGUUGAGGCUC